AUGCAAGUCGAGCGAGAAAGCCUUCGGGUGAGUAGAGCGGCGGACGGGUGAGUAAUGCGUGGGAAUCUGCCUGGUAGUGGGGGACAACCGUUGGAAACGACGGCUAAUACCGCAUACGCCCUACGGGGGAAAGCGGGGGAUCUUCGGACCUCGUGCUAUCAGAUGAGCCCACGUCAGAUUAGCUAGUUGGUGGGGUAAUGGCCUACCAAGGCGACGAUCUGUAGCUGGUCUGAGAGGAUGAUCAGCCACACUGGGACUGAGACACGGCCCAGACUCCUACGGGAGGCAGCAGUGGGGAAUAUUGCACAAUGGGGGAAACCCUGAUGCAGCCAUGCCGCGUGUGUGAAGAAGGCCCUAGGGUUGUAAAGCACUUUAAGCAGUGAGGAAAGGGUUAAGUUUAAUACGCUUAAUCUGUGACGUUAACUGCAGAAUAAGCACCGGCUAACUCCGUGCCAGCAGCCGCGGUAAUACGGAGGGUGCGAGCGUUAAUCGGAAUUACUGGGCGUAAAGCGCACGUAGGCGGUCUUUUAAGCGAGGUGUGAAAGCCCCGGGCUCAACCUGGGAACGGCACUUCGAACUGGGAGACUAGAGUAUGGUAGAGGAUAGUGGAAUUUCAGGUGUAGCGGUGAAAUGCGUAGAGAUCUGAAGGAACAUCAGUGGCGAAGGCGACUGUCUGGACCAAUACUGACGCUGAGGUGCGAAAGCGUGGGUAGCAAACAGGAUUAGAUACCCUGGUAGUCCACGCCGUAAACGAUGUCUACUAGCCGUAGGGCUCCUUGAGGGCUUUGUGGCGUAGCUAACGCGCUAAGUAGACCGCCUGGGGA
rnacentral:rRNA from 1 species